AUUAAACCAAGGGUACGUAGAUAACAAUUGAUCAUAGAUCAAAAUUCAUUUUGAUAACGAAACUUAUAAUACUAAAAUUGUAAAAAAGUAAACCAUGAUCAACCCAUUUUACAUAUUACAAAACGAUACACACGCACACAAAACAAACUGAUCAAUAACCCAAAGAUCUUACAUGCUAUAGAAAAGGAAAUUUAACUGAUCAUUGUUUAUAAGUCCAAAGAAAAGCUCCCAUAGCAAACUUCCUCUUUUGAUUAACAUCUCCAUUUAUAGGCAGUCCAUAUUGAGUAAGCAAACAAUCCAACUUCCAUUCAGGCAUGGCCUCAUAUUCAGCUCGUGUGUAUCUUGGGUAAUGCAAAGGCAUAUGAAAGCCAUAGCCACACCUUGGCUGUGCCAUCGACUCCAUUCCACCUCCACUCAUUUUCUUGGAAAGUUUAUAUAUUGGUGUGGAGAAAAAACACUAGAAGUACUGGGGUAUUUAUAGAGGAAAGAAAGCCAGUUCACUUUUCUAUUUCCUUUUUUCCCUUCACAGGCAUGAAUAGAUACGGAGUUUAAAACAA